CUCAGUGAUAAUUUUUUUCACCUUAACCCAGGCAACCUCCACCCCGUGCCGAUUUACUCUGUUUUUAGCUAGGUCAUUAUAUGUCCUCUGUGGCUACUCUUUAAGCCCUUGCCAUUUUCGGGCACCUGCAUGCCCCCUCGCUGGGCAGUGGUCAUCAGUGGAGGGUUCUCUCUGGUUGGUAUCGUGAAAUUCUUCUGUUCUGCCCGUAUGUCUCCUGAUGAAGCAAAUAUGCAAAACAUGUCGGGACCUAUAUGUGUAACUGUAUAUUGAAUUGAUCCAGUCUUGUACCUUUCGCAAUUGUCGGCCACCCAGCUACUGUUUAGCUAUGCUGUGAUUGUCACUACAAAGUUGACUUUUUUA